CCUACGGGAGGCAGCAGUGGGGAAUAUUGCACAAUGGGGGAAACCCUGAUGCAGCAACGCCGCGUGAGUGAAGAAGGAUUUCGGUUUGUAAAGUUCUAUCAGCAGGGAAGAAGAAAGACGGUAACUGACUAAGUAGCCCCGGCUAACUACGUUCCAGCAGCCGCGGUAAUACGGAGGGGGCCAGCGUUAUCCGGAUUUACUGGGUGGAAAGGGAGCGUAGACGGCUGUGCAAGUCUGAAGUGAAAGCCCGUGGCUCAACCGCGGAACUGCUUUGGAAAAUGUAUACCUUGAGUGCUGGAGAGGCAGGCGGAAUUCCUAGUGUAGCGGUGAAAUGCGUAGAUAUUAGGAAGAACACCAGUGGCGAAGGCGGACUGCUGGACGGAAACUGACGGUGAGGCUCGAAAGCGUGGGGAGCAAACAGGAUUAGAUACCCGAGUAGUC
rnacentral:rRNA from 1 species